UACGUAGGGUGCGAGCGUUAAUCGGAAUUACUGGGCGUAAAGGGCGCGUAGGCGGCCUUCUAAGUCGAACGUGAAAUCCCUGGGCUCAACCCAGGAACUGCGUCCGAUACUGAAAGGCUUGAAUCCGGGAGAGGGAUGCGGAAUUCCAGGUGUAGCGGUGAAAUGCGUAGAUAUCUGGAGGAACACCGGUGGCGAAGGCGGCAUCCUGGACCAUUACUGACGCUGAGGAGCGAAAGCCAGGGGAGCAAACGGG
rnacentral:rRNA from 1 species